AUACCAGAUUGUCGUGCUAUGGAAAUACGGUAGGACCGACUCACAGAUCCAUGGUAUCUGGGAACCAAGCAAUAGAUCAGUUUGAGCUUAGCUUAGUGAAAGUGUGAUCCGUGUUCUUCUUCGUUUUAUUAUUGAGGUGACGAUCCCCGACCAAGAGAGAGUGAUGGAUCUCAUUAACCGAAUCCCGACCAAGAAACAAUACUGGAUCUCUUAAUUUCCCGAUUCCUGACAGAGAGAUAAUACUGGAUUUCAUCACUAACCUAUUUCGGACCGAGAAACAAUGCUGGAUCUCUUCAUUCCGGAUUCACGACCGAAAAACAAUACUGGAUGUUUCCAUUCCCCGAUUCCCGACUGAGAAACAAUACUGUAUCUCCUCGCAUAUCGAUUUCAGACCGAGAAACAAUACUGGAUCUCUUCAUUCCCAAUUCCCGACCGAGAAACAAUACUGAAUCUCUUCAUUUCCUUACUCCCUGCCAAGGAACAAUACUGGAUCUCUUCACUUCCCGAUUCCCGUCCGAGAAACAGUACUGAAUCUCCUCACACAUCGAUUUCAGACCGAGAAACAAGAUGAUCAUUAGACCAAAAAUUACAACAGAAGCCAUCUUACAAACGGGAACCUUAGACAAAGGGAACGCGACUCAACUGGCUGUAACGGCACAGAAGCUAUCUUACAAGAAGGAACUUAAGAAUAUGGGACGGCUGCAAAGCACAGAAUCCGCUCACUAGAGGGAACUUGGAAAAUGGUAACACUCCUCGGCAGCACAGAAGCAAGAGGGAACCUCAGAAAGUGUGAACAUGACUUUAGCUCUCCCGGCUCUCAGCCCACCAAGAGAAACAGGGAGUCAGUCGGCAUUACGAAAUUGGACAUACUUCAGUGAGAUUAUAACAAAUGAUACGCUUGUUAUUUUAAAAAUUUUCACCAA